UACGUAGGGUGCGAGCGUUAAUCGGAAUUACUGGGCGUAAAGGGCGCGUAGGCGGCCUUCUAAGUCAGACGUGAAAUCCCCCGGCUUAACCUGGGAACUGCGUCUGAUACUGGGAGGCUAGAGUGCGGGAGAGGGAUGCGGAAUUCCAGGUGUAGCGGUGAAAUGCGUAGAUAUCUGGAGGAACACCGGUGGCGAAGGCGGCAUCCUGGACCGACACUGACGCUGAGGCGCGAAAGCUAGGGUAGCAAACGGG
rnacentral:rRNA from 1 species